rnacentral:lncRNA from 1 species
GGGAUCCAGAGUAGAUAUCCAAAGUAGACCGCCUGUAGUAUGAAUUCGGAGUAGACUGCUUGCUGUAGAAAUUCGGCUCUUGUGGGAGCUCGGGUGGAAUUCGAAAGGUGAUCGACUGUCGUAGAAACUUGGAUGGAGUCUGGUUACUAUAGAAAUCUUAUUGUCAGAGAAGCUCGGAUAUUGAUGAAGUUCGAAAGAAGUUCGGAGUAAGGUCGUCCAUGGCUGGAAGAAGUUUGGAAGGGAUUCGAAGAAUAGUUGAUCAUUGUAGAAGAUUGGCUGAUAGUGAAGCCCAGAGAGCCUUUGGAGUGGCUCGGUAGAUGAAUGUAGAAGCUCAUUGUCUGAGAAGUCCAGAUGGUAUUAUGGAAGCUCGGAUGGUUGAGGGGGUUCAGAAAGAUGCCACAC